CAUCAAGAAGCUAAAUAGCAUUAACCUUUUAAGUUAAAGAUUGAGAGACUCCACCCUCUCCUUGAUGA
rnacentral:tRNA from 1 species